rnacentral:rRNA from 1 species
ACGGGAGGCAGCAGUGGGGAAUAUUGGGCAAUGGGCGCAAGCCUGACCCAGCGACGCCGCGUGAGGGAAGAAGGUCUUCGGAUUGUAAACCUCUGUUGUAAGGGAAGAAACAAAUGACGGUACCUUACGAGGAAGCCACGGCUAACUACGUGCCAGCAGCCGCGGUAAUACGUAGGUGGCGAGCGUUAUCCGGAUUUACUGGGUGUAAAGGGUGUGUAGGCGGGAUUGCAAGUCAGAUGUGAAAAUUAUGGGCUCAACUCAUAACCUGCAUUUGAAACUGUGGUUCUUGAGGGUCGGAGAGGUAACUGGAAUUCCUGGUGUAGCGGUGAAAUGCGUAGAUAUCAGGAGGAACACCGGUGGCGAAGGCGAGUUACUGGACGAUACCUGACGCUGAGACACGAAAGUGUGGGGAGCAAACAGGAUUAGAUACCCUGGUA